GCAGCCUGAGCAAAGGUUUACUGUUUCUACUUUGCCUAAAACAUUUACAAAGAAAAGUAUCUGACGUUCGCAGUAAAUCAGGCAAUGUUUCAGGCCCCUGACACAACCCAUGGAGGCAGUUUGAGUGGUCUCCAAGAGGUGGAAAGGAGAUCCUCUAUCUGGAUCAGUGCAGAAAGCUUGGCUCCUGGAGAAGGUGGGAGGGUUAAAUAGAAUGAGAUGAAAAAACCGAGGGGCUGCAGCGGUCUGUUUUCCCACUCCUCACUUUCCCCAGCCAUCCCUAAACCCCCCGAGGGUCUCCGGUGUAACACACCCUCCUUCCCCCGUGGUUUUCUCUCCCUGGCGGGCUGGGGAUGCCCAGGAGGAGUUCCUCAUCCCAGCCCCACGGCAGCCCCGCCACCACCUCCGCCCGUGCCUUUGUCUGGCCAGCCCCAAAGCCUCCCCUGUGCCCAGAAACCCCCACCCCACGGCGGGGAGGGCCGGGGGAGCGCGGUGAGGAAGAGGAGGCUCCGCGCCUCCAGCCCCGGGGCCCCGAGGCUCCGCGGGGGCUCCGGGAGCUCCGCGCCGGGCGGAGAGGAGGAAGAGGAGGAGGAGGAGGAGCAGGAGGAAGGCGGAGAGGAGGGGGAAGGGGGUGGGUUCUGCAUCCUCCGCUUUCUUCCCAGCUCCGAGAGCGAGCGGCUCUGGCCGGCCGGUUCCCAUCAGGGGUGGGAAGGGAAAGGGGAGGGGGGAAGGGUCUUUUCUCUUUAAAGAAAUAAUCAAUUUUCUUUCCUCCUUCGUGAAAAAGAAAAAAGAGGUGCCAGCAGCGAGCCGACGAGAGCCUGGUUAGCCCCGGGCUAUAACUACUGUGCUUCUUGCUGGUGCUUGUAGGGCAGAGAGCUGUGCUACCCUACUCCCUGUUCAGAAUUCUGGCCAGACCCAGGACCUCCCCAUCCCCUGGAGGGGUGUCCAGUGCUUCAGCUGGACACCAGCCCAGCAUGGUGGGAGCAGAAACCUGCAGCUUCCCCUCGUGGAGCUGUGCUGCUGCAGCCAAAGCUGCGAGAGGAUGCUCCACAGCAGAGCAGGGGCACUGGAGUCACCCUCUUCUCUUCCCAUCCUUGGCCAGGAGCAGCUGCUCAGUCUCCAGCGGACAAGGGUCACGAGGUGAUGAAGAAGCAAGCUCAGGGCUGCAGAAGUGGCUCCUGCUUUGCUGAAGGUCACCCCUCCCACCUGAAGCCAAGGCAGGGAACAGAGUAGGAGCAGGUGAAGCUGGGAAGUUGGAGACACUGAAGGCUAGAGGACCAGCUUGACUGUGAUGCCUGGUCAUUUAGAAGCCCCUUGUUUGUCCUGGAGGAUGGUUUGGACAAAGGGAGAUACCCAGUGCCAUGGGGGAUGUUGGGCUCUCCCUUCCAGAGGCUGGGAUGGAUCAGGAUGGUCUCUCACCUCUUCACCUAGACAAAGGAGUGGGCCAGAGAGAUUCCUACCUUACACAUGUCGUCAGACGGUUUGUCUGCAGCCUGGGAAGGCUGAGACUGUGUGGGGAGAGGGAACAGUGCCCUUACUAUGUGUCUCACCCAACCCCCUUAUGACUGGAGUGGCAGAAGAGGCUUGUUUGAACCAGUGUGGGAGAGAUUCAAUGUCAGCAUCCCCCUUUCAUCACAGACUCUGCAGAGGAAGUGUGCACUGCCUCAGCAGUGACGCUGGUGAGGCAGGCAAGGCUACCAAAACCAGGAACUGCGAAGCCUCUGUGUGAAUUUGCAUCAAACACCCUCAAAAAAACGUGCCCACAACUGUUUACAGCGCCUGUUUGAAAACAGAGUGUUGUCAACUCUUCUGACGCAUGAUUUCAAGGAUGUCAAGGAUUCAGAAAGUUUCAAGGAUUGAGAAACCUUGUCCUAGGUGUUUAGGUGUGGCAGUGCCCAGGAGGCACAUGCACCAUGCAGGGUCUGACCCAGGCACGGGGAACUGGGGGCACUGGUGCUGCUGGGAGGUGGCAGUGGUGGGAGAGAAGCCUCUCUUCAACAUCCCAAGUAAGCAAUUGUGUAUUUACUCCACAUAAGGAGGAAAAACAAACAAGCUGUGCAAGCUGAGAUAAGGUUUUCAGCCAGCGCUCCAGCUCCAUUCGCCCAGGCCACAGCUCACACAAAGCUGAUCUGGCUUAAGCCUCCAGGUCUCCAUUUCUCCCUGCUUGGCUGUCAUCUCUUCCACCUCUCACCCCUCCAACUUGGCACAGAGGUCUGUCUUUGGAAACAAGGACUUUGGGCUUGUCUGAAAUCCUCUGUCAGUCUAACUCUGGGGACAUAGCAGCUGGAACAGCAACAGUGAGAGGAGCUGAAGGAAAACUCCUUCUGCCUCUUCCUAGUGUUCGUACCUGGGGCUGCCAAAAACGUGCCCAGAGCAGUGCAAUCAGACACACCUAUUUCUCGAGGCUUUUCUUUUCUGGCUCCAGCUUUACACCUUCCUGGAGGAGGGUGACUUCUGGCUUCUGCUUCUCUGAGAGGGAGCACGCCAGGGGAGCUGCUCUUGCCAGCAUUUUGUGCUUGGUGAGGGUGCCUUAAAUGUUUCCCACAUACUGAGAUAGGUACAUUUUGGGAUGAGGGCUGCCUGGAGAGCACACCAGACCCUUUAUUAACUGGUGAACAUCCCUUUGUAAAAGGGUGGUUUAGAGCUCCACUUAUGACUUCAUCUCUGAGAGGUUUGGACAGCAAAUGCAGAGCCUAAUCUUAAAAAGAAAAAAAAAAAA
rnacentral:lncRNA from 1 species